ACCCAAACAAUUGUGUGAUGCAGGCC
rnacentral:piRNA from 1 species